CGCAAGAUACCGACCUAGAAGCCAACCGGCUAAGUCUCAGUAGCUUCUGGGGUCUCUUCCUCCUCUCCGGCAUCGUGUGCGUUCUUGCUCUCAUCGUCUACAUCAUCAAGACAAGCUGUCAGUACAGCAAGUUUAGCAGCACAGAGGCUGGCAAAUCCAAGGAAAAUGUCGAGGUAAGCAGCAACCGAAAGGAUCCCAAACUUAGCAAGUUAAAGAGCUUCAAGAACUUGAUGCACUUCGUCGAUACCAAGGAAGAAGAGAUUGAUAACGUGAUCAAGAGGAGACUGAGUGACAAACAACAACAACAAGGUGCUUCUACUUCAGAUAAUGGGCCUUCUACGUCACAUGCAUAGAAGUUGGUAUUGAGAUGUAGCUAUCUCUUGCUAAGUUGCAAUGGUUGUCCAAGUAAUAGCUAGUUUCUUGCAGAAAGGAGCUUUUGUUGUAAUAUGAUUUGCAACUUCUACAGAAAAGAAUGAUAUUGUUAUUCUGAUGAAAAGAGUGUCACCUGGAAGUUCUGAGAUCGAGUUAGGAACAAUUACCUCAGAAUUUGCAUCUCCUCUCGCUCGGAACUCUAUCUUGGCAAAGUAAAAAGGUUUGGCUUUUCAUGAUUGAUGGCAAGUGGAGCUUCUUUUGGUGAUCACAGAUCACAGUCUCUGUUCACUGGCUGAACCUGAUAUCAGCAAUGAACAGAGAUUUUAUAUAUAUAUAUAUAUAUAUAUAUAUAUAUAUAUAUAUAUAUAUAUAUAUAUAUCGAACGGUAUAUCGCUCGGUAUACAAUAUCGUAUUGUAUCGAGCGAAUAUCGAAACUUUAGUACGGUACGAUAUUUCAAUCCUUGCCUUACAUCAUGCCUACAGUUGCUACAAACUUGCUCCUAUUUUUGUUGGAACUGUUUAAACUCUCAAUCAUGACCAUCCUAGAUUCAAAUGGUUCGCAACGAUCGCUACCCUGCGAUACCGCUACACGCGGGGUGAGGGCAUCAAGAGCAACAAUAGUUGUUGCCUUUUCUCGCUUUUGUGUCAACGAUUUUAAUAUCAAAAGCUUCUCCAAAACAUAACACAUGCAGUUCAAACCUAAUUUUUGCACGAACAACCUAGCUCUGAUACCAUUAUUGGGAAAUCUUGGGGGCGACAUCAUAUACGCAGCGGAAGAACAGAAAAUAAAAUCCUCAAUUUCCAAAGAUAUGUUCGUCAUCGUGCGAAGAUUGGUACGCAAAAAUUCGCGAAAUAGAAAACCACAUGUGAGAUACAUUGUGUUACUUAGGGAGAUCAUAUAUCCUUGAAUCUCUGCAUAUCUCUAGGAAAGGGUGAAAGAGGUCAAGCGCCCCCCUCUCUAGAGGUGAUUCACACAACAGGAUUGUGAUGAUGCUCCUCAAAACUCCAGACCUGUUCUGAGAUGGAGAAGGGAGGAGAAUAGAAGAAACAAUAAAAAAACACUAGCCUAUGAACCACUAGUUCUCUUACAUUCAACAGAUGGUUCACAUAUAAAUUGAUCUAAUGAAAUUUGAUCACAAUUUCUUAGAUAGAAAUAGUGCAGGCUAGAAGAAAAAGUCUCAACUAAUUUGAUCCUUAUUUUGUUUCAAUAAUCUAGUGUACCAUAUCAGUUGCCAAUUUUUGAUGGGCCUGCCACCUUCAUGUUAGGUACUGGUCUUAGCAAUAAGAGAUGAUAGACACUGGGCCUAACAAUAAGAGAUGAGAACAAAGGAGAAAGAUAAGAACUUUGUUCCAACUUCAAGACUUCAUUGCACAAUCUCUGAAAGCAAUCAUUGAAGGUAACAGCUUUAUUAAUUUGUAGUAAAAUAAUAACUAGGAUAUGCAAUCAAUGAUAAAUACACUUGAUCAUGAAGAAAUUUUUAUUUCAUAACUCCCAUGGAGCUAGACAUAAUCCAUGAAUCAAUUUCAAGAUCAAGACCCAAACAUAAUACAGAGAUAUGACAUUCAGCUCCUUCAGGUCUGAUUCCUUCCUGAAAUAAAUAAUGAACUGGAUAAGAAUCUUUAUUGGAGGAAUUGGAAAGAAAUCAAUAACCUAAUUUUAAAAAUAACUGAUCGUGAACUAAUCUGUAAAUUAACUGCAUACGAUAAGCAACAUAAAACUUUGUUAUAUAGUUAGCAUAAUCACAUCAGCAAGGGGAAAAGUAAUUUUAUAAGAAAGCUUUGUUCCAUUAAUAGUUUUACGUAAUAAACCUCUCAGUAAACACAUACAGGACAAGAUCCAAGACUGACACAAGCAUGUUACUUGGUUAUGUCCAAUGUAAUAUCAGAUUCAUUAUGUAAAAGAAAAUUGAACUCAGAAUACUGAAAAAGCCAAUUCUAUAAAGUACGCAAGUCAAAAGAAGAAAUAACCAGGAGGCAACCUAGCGUGCUGCUUCAUCCAAAAGGCUUUUAAUUAGGGCUAAUCUAAAAAGAGAAGGGUAGUGACAAGAUAAAAGGGCAUAUCCAAUGCAUAAGGUUCCCACCAAUUUAUAGUAAGACAAGCUAAAAAACAUAAAUAUAGUAUACAGCUGGCGUCCUUUGCAUGAUGAAACAAAAAUUUGAACAUGGAUCUAGCAACAAGACCUAUCAGAUGUGACCGUGGGAUGACUUCCUAGAUGGGGAACGUUGAUAUCUAAUAGGAGAACUAGACCAAUCAGAUGUGUCCCGUCGUUUGUGCUCCCUGUUUUCCACCGCAGGCGCCAUCCUUCGUCACAAAGUAGCCAAAGCUCCGAGUCGCAAUAUAAUCAAGUAAUUGAUAUCACUGAGUUCAAGCUAAAAUUCGUCAGAACAAGCACUAUAGUCAGAUUGACGAACAAAAACUAAUUUUCCAUUAAUAUCAUGAAGCAAUAAAGCAGGAUUAAGAAAAGCACACAUUUCCCACAAAUAGAGUAUCUCGAUUCCAGAGCCCACCAAAGACAAUGGGCAAAACCAUAGCUCAAAGCCAUCAAACGAAAGGAUAAGACAAAGAAACUUUAUAGAACACCAAGAAAAGAGAAAAAACCUAACUUUAACGCGCUCAUCAAUUUUUAUUCUCACUGCACUAUAUUAUUUGUACCAGUUGCAAACAACGAAAGAACGAAAACAAAGAUGGCAGGAAUACUAACUGAGAUGUGUUUGAUACGAAAGAGAGAAAAAGAAAAUCCGCGACAGCCAAGAAAAAGGGAUCUCAGAGGAGAAACUUACAUGCGAGAGAGGCAGGAGAGGGAAUGGAAGGAUAGCCCUAUCCAACGACGGAGCGUUCGCCACCGAGGGGAGGCGCCAUGGACGAACGC
rnacentral:lncRNA from 1 species